rnacentral:rRNA from 1 species
UACGUAGGGGGCAAGCGUUAUCCGGAUUUAUUGGGCGUAAAGAGCUCGUAGGCGGCCGAUCGCGUCGGUUGUGAAAGCUCAGGGCUCAACCCUGAGACGCCAAGUCGAUACGGAGUCGGCUAGAGGUAGGUAGGGGAAAGUGGAAUUCCUGGUGUAGCGGUGAAAUGCGCAGAUAUCAGGAGGAACACCGGUGGCGAAGGCGGUUCUCUGGGCCUGACCUGACGCUGAGGAGCGAAAGCGUGGGGAGCGAACAGG